AGCAGCCGCCGCGGUAAUACGUAGGGUGCAAGCGUUAAUCGGAAUUACUGGGCGUAAAGCGUGCGCAGGCGGUUCUAUAAGACAGAUGUGAAAUCCCCGGGCUCAACCUGGGAACUGCAUUUGUGACUGUAGAGCUGGAGUGCGGCAGAGGGGGAUGGAAUUCCGCGUGUAGCAGUGAAAUGCGUAGAUAUGCGGAGGAACACCGAUGGCGAAGGCAAUCCCCUGGGCCUGCACUGACGCUCAUGCACGAAAGCGUGGGGAGCAAACAGGAUUAGAGACCCCAGUAGUCCCUGUCUCUUAUAC
rnacentral:rRNA from 1 species